UCUCAGUUCGGAUUGGAGGCUGAAACCCGCCUCCAUGAAGUUGGAUUCGCUAGUAAUCGCGCAUCAGCCAUGGCGCGGUGAAUACGUUCCCGGGCCUUGUACACACCGCCCGUCAAGCCAUGGGAGCCGGGGGUGCCUGAAGUUCGUGACCGCAAGGAGCGACCUAGGGCAAAACUGGUGACUGGGGCUAAGUCGUAACAAGGUAGC
rnacentral:rRNA from 1 species